CAAAGGUGUACAGUAGUCUGCACAUUGGUUAGACUGGGCUUGGAUGAGCAGCACUUUAGGGGUGCAGGCUGUUCAGGGCAUAUAUGUCUGUCUCUAACUAUGAAGCAUCCCCGCUGAGGGGAUAUCAGCCCACAGCCUUCCUUGGAAAGUAAAGGAAAUCUGGGUCUAUAACAUAGAAGCACUGGUGGCAGCUGUGGGGUAUUGUGUAGGAAAUGCUCGAUAGAAGAACAAAGAGAUUGAUAGAAUAAAUGCUUCGCAUUUCAGUAGCUCAACGGAGCCUGCUGCCAUUUCUGGAUUAUAGGAACCAAGUGCUGACCUUUUAGCUCACAUACCUGGAAGCAGCCACAGAAAUGUCACCAAAAUCUCUACAGUGCGCUCAAGGGAAUUUGCCCACCUGCUGAAGGCCACCAGAAACACCCUUCCUGUCCACGUUGAGAGAUCUGCAGAUAAUUCCAAAGAAUGUUACUAAUCUUAUCAGGAAGAUUUCAAGCUCAUGUUAGAAUUCCUCACACACCGUUUCCAGGUUUAGAAACAAAACAAAACAAUUUAUUUUCCACAUAAAGCUAACAAAACAUUACUAACAAUGUAUCACAUGAAACAAAGAACUACCAACAAAAUCCAGCAUUGUUAACCUUAUAAAGGGCACAUAAAAUACCCACAUUUUAAACUUAAAUAUUCCACAUAAUAAAUAUCUUUUACCACUCUGGCCUGGAAUAAGUAUUUGAUUGAUUUUUCAAAUCUGUAGAC